CAGUCGCCGCGGUAAUACGUAGGUGGCAAGCGUUGUCCGGAAUUAUUGGGCGUAAAGCGCGCGCAGGUGGUUUAAUAAGUCUGAUGUGAAAGCCCACGGCUCAACCGUGGAGGGUCAUUGGAAACUGUUAAACUUGAGUGCAGGAGAGAAAAGUGGAAUUCCUAGUGUAGCGGUGAAAUGCGUAGAGAUUAGGAGGAACACCAGUGGCGAAGGCGGCUUUUUGGCCUGUAACUGACACUGAGGCUCGAAAGCGUGGGGAGCAAACAGGAUUAGAUACCCCCGUAGUCCCUGUCUCUUAUAC
rnacentral:rRNA from 1 species